CAGGAAAUGUAAGUAAUACGCAAUAGGUUUGUUUGUGAUAAAGGUUACCUUGGUUGUUUUAGUGAUAAAGAAAAUAGUAUGUUACCAUCAAACACCGUCAAGGAUAUUUCAGAUUUGACUCUGAAGAAAUGCCAACAACAAUGUCAUGGCUUCAAAUUUUUAGGACUUCAGGUGAUAGAUAAAGUGAGUGGUAUUGAUAAUCAGAUUGACAUGGACAAUAGAUGAACAAUAGAUACCUGACAAUAAUUGGAGAUUUAAACUGUGUACCUGUGUGAACCAUAUCAACGGAAACACAACUGUUUGUUAAUUAUGAUAUUUCUAAAUCUUGCAAUGUAUUUGAAUUAUAUUUAUCUAGGGCAUGCUAUGACUUAAAACUAAUCAAGAUGCCUGCACACAGAGUAAAUUUUGUAGUGAAAAUACGGCCAUUUUUGCCACAUAUGAAUUAAGUUUUGAAUUAGUCUGUGGGCGGCAUGAAUAGCUACAUUUAAAAUA